AGCGAGCUGGAAGUGUCGUUAGCACCCCAGGCAAAAUGCAGAGUAGUAUUUCGUCCGUCUUUACGUUCUGAGUUCAAAUUCCACCGAGGUCGACUAAAUAAGUACCAGUGAU